GUCUAUGGCCAUACCACCCUGAACAUACCUGAUAGCAUCUGAUCUCUGAAGCUAAGCAAAGUUGAGCCUGGGUAGUACUUGGAUAGGAGAACAUCUGGGAAUACUGGAUGCUCUAGGCU
rnacentral:rRNA from 1 species